UUCCUGGGAUUGGUGACGUAGAUAAGACCAACAUUAUCAUAGUUCAGCCCUCUCUGCUUUGCUUGGGUACGCCCUCAAAGACGGGGGUGGAGAGCGCUGAGUCAGAAGAGAGCUAAAAUGGCGGAGGUUGGGAGUCCCUGCUUUGACUCUGUUUGCAAACUCUUGUUUCAUUGUUUAAGCGAUUAAAUCUCUCGAGUAGACGCUGUCUCUUUAGAUGCAAUGGCAAAAUAGCACUUUAUGGACUUACACAGAGGACAUCAUGUUUAAUACGGUUCCGGAAAAAUCAGUCAGAAGUUGUUCACGGAGUUUUCACAAUAACUGCUGCUCAUGAACCGAAGCUGCGCGACGUCUCCUGCUGAAAGUUGGAUUACUGUGCACUUCUGGAUCACAGGCUAUUCACAGCAGGACACAUCCUUCUACACUGUAUGCAAACAUGCAACAUCAUUACACACAGUACAAGGAGUUAGACUGGCAUAUGAGGAGCAAAGGAACCCAGGCAGUAGCAUCGUUUCACAAUGUUUCCAUCACCAUCAUCAGUGGAUGCCUUUGCCGUCCGUAGCCUGAGAUUUCAGAUUUGCAGCAAAAAAUGUGACUUUCCCAUUUAUUGGAAUGCUGUGCAGCCAUCCAUUACAAUGUCACCAAGCCGUAACAAAAGCAGGAGAGGGAAAGUACAAGGCUAUGUUCCCAAAACACACAAGUGACAUACUUUAUGUGGAUGAUGUGAUCAGGCUUGUGUUUGCUGAGGUAUUUGAAGAUAAGCUGAAGGAAACCCCGAUUCCAAUGGACCUGGCAUCACAGUUUGAGAGACCUUCAAAGGAGGACGUGAUUGCAUGCCAUCUUCAGUGCAGGGGUCGUCGGAA